UUUUCGUACCACGGCGAGGCCGGAUUCCUGUUUUAUCAUGAAUAUUCAUUAGGCAGGGUCGGGGAAAGUCUCGAUUCUCUUAAAUAUUCAUAUCGAGGUGGGAAUGCACGACGCGCGCUAUACUCGCACAAAGUGAGAAGAUUUAGUUCACGGAGAAUGCAUAUGGAUUGAAACUGAAGAGCUGGAAGGAGGAUAUUACAACAUCUCUUAUAUUUGCAAGAUGAAGCAGAAAGUCCCAUGCAGGAUGAUGCCUCUCUACAGUGGAUGAUGAAGGCAUUCUGGUUUGCAAACUCAGGAGAGGAACAAAGAACAGAUGUUGACGGGAUCAUAUCUAGAGAUGCGGGCCUACUACACUUCAUACGAGCAAGUGUGCUAAUAUACAUGAAGACUUGGGUUAUAUUUUUUUCUGAAAACUAGGCUACAACUUUAGUGAUGGAUGCAGAAGAUAUCUACACGAGACUACGUCUUAAAGAUGCCACCCUCAUAUAAUGAAAGAGGACAAUAGAGAUGGGUUUAAACUGGAAUAUUUACAUGAUAUUUAUUUGUUAUUUGUAUUAUAUAUUUGUAGAAUACUACAUUCAAGAAAGCUAAUGAAGUUUAUCAUCUUGUCGACUUUCAAAUAAUUAAAGAUAACUAAUCCUCAACGAAUAAACAUUAAAAUUCUAACAAUGUCAACUACCAUCUUAUAGGAUGAAACUGAGGACUGGGCAGAA